GCCCUGCCGCUGCACAUAUACUAAAAUUGGAACGAUACAGAGAAGAUUAGCGUGGCCCCUGCGCAAGAAUGACACGCAAAUAUAUACAUAUAUAUGUAUAUAUAUUUUU